UGGCCAAGUUGAGAGCAGGACUGCCUAGU
rnacentral:piRNA from 1 species